rnacentral:rRNA from 1 species
UACGAAGGGGGCUAGCGUUGUUCGGAAUUACUGGGCGUAAAGCGCACGUAGGCGGAUUUGUAAGUCGGGGGUGAAAGCCUGUGGCUCAACCACAGAAUUGCCUUCGAUACUGCAUGGCUUGAGACCGAAAGAGGUUAGUGGAACUGCGAGUGUAGAGGUGAAAUUCGUAGAUAUUCGCAAGAACACCAGUGGCGAAGGCGGCUGACUGGUCCGGAUCUGACGCUGAGGCGCGAAAGCGUGGGGAGCAAACAGG